rnacentral:rRNA from 1 species
GACGAACGCUGGCGGCGUGCUUAACACAUGCAAGUCGAACGGUGAAAGCGGAGCUUGCUCCGCUGGAUCAGUGGCGAACGGGUGAGUAACACGUGGGCAACCUGCCCCUCACUUCGGGAUAACUCCGGGAAACCGGGGCUAAUACCGGAUAUGACCUCCUUGGGCAUCCUUGGAGGUGGAAAGUUUUUCGGUGAGGGAUGGGCCCGCGGCCUAUCAGCUGUUUGGUGAGGUAGUGGCUCACCAAGGCGACGACGGGUAGCCGGCCUGAGAGGGCGACCGGCCACACUGGGACUGAGACACGGCCCAGACUCCUACGGGAGGCAGCAGUGGGGAAUAUUGCGCAAUGGGCGAAAGCCUGACGCAGCAACGCCGCGUGCGGGAUGACGGCCUUCGGGUUGUAAACCGCUUUCAGCAGGGAAGAAGACGCAAGGUGACGGUACCUGCAGAAAAAGCACCGGCUAACUACGUGCCAGCCGCCGCCGUAA